CCUACGGGAGGCAGCAGUGAGGAAUAUUGGUCAAUGGGCGCAAGUCUGAACCAGCCAUGCCGCGUGCAGGAAGACGGCUCUAUGAAUUGUAAACUGCUUUUGUACAAGGGUAAACCUUAAGACGUGUAUUCAGCUGAAUGUACUGUACGAAUAAGGAUCGGCUAACUCCGUGCCAGCAGCCGCGGUAAUACGGAGGAUCCAAGCGUUAUCCGGAUUUAUUGGGUUUAAAGGGUGCGUAGGCGGAGUGUUAAGUUAGAGGUGAAAUGUCCGAGCUUAACCCGGGAACUGCCGGUUAUACUGUUGAGCUAGAGAGUAGAUGAGGUAGGCGGAAUGCAUAGUGUAGCGGUGAAAUGCUUAGAGAUCAUACAGAACACCGAUUGCGAAGGCAGCCUACCAAUCUAUGUCUGACGUUGAGGCACGAAAGCGUGGGGAGCAAACAGGAUUAGAUACCCCAGUAGUC
rnacentral:rRNA from 1 species